rnacentral:misc_RNA from 1 species
GAUAUUGUUUUCUUUGAUCAGAUUAUGCACGGUAAAGGUUUUCUAGAGUUUACCCUAUAGGGCUUGUAGCUCAGUUGGUUAGAGCGCGCGCUUGAUAAGCGUGAGGUCGGAGGUUCAAGUCCUCCCAGGCCCACCAGUUACACGAUGCUAAAAGUUGCUAUAUUGGGAGAGUUGAUAAUCCCUUACAGGAAAUUAUUGCCCUUAAUAAAACUUUAUUUUCUAAAAGCAUUCAGAGCUGACAUAGAAUAGAGCUGACAUAGAAUUGAGAAUCUGACAUAGGAAUUAUUGAAAUUGUUUUGGAAUUAUUGAAAUUGUUUUCUAUCAUUUUAAAAGGCUAAAAUAUUCUGUCUCUAUUUUUAAAAUAGCAUCAGGUGUUUUGUAAGAGUGUGAAGUUUUUAAGUGUGAGGUUUUUUAUAUUUUAGUGUGAGGUUUUUAUA